GAGGAAUUUUGCGCAAUGGGGGAAACCCUGACGCAGCAACGCCGCGUGAGUGAUGAAGGCUUUCGGGUCGUAAAGCUCUGUCAGAUGGGAAAAAAGUUCAUUUAUUAAUAGUAAGUGAAUCUGAUGGUACCAUCAGAGGAAGCACCGGCUAACUCCGUGCCAGCAGCCGCGGUAAUACGGAGGGUGCAAGCGUUGUUCGGAAUUAUUGGGCGUAAAGAGCGUGUAGGCGGUAUGAUAAGUCAGAUGUGAAAGCCCUGGGCUUAACCUAGGAAGUGCAUUUGAUACUGUCAUUCUUGAGUAUGGGAGAGGAGAGUGGAAUUCCCAGUGUAGAAGUGAAAUUCGUAGAUAUUGGGAGGAACACCCGUGGCGAAGGCGACUCUCUGGACCAAUACUGACGCUGAGACGCGAAAGCGUGGGGAGCAAAC
rnacentral:rRNA from 1 species